ensembl:lncRNA CASC15 cancer susceptibility 15
AAUGGAGAACAUUUACAGAGGACUGUGGGUAAAGCAAAGUCUUCAAGGGAAGAUAACAAAGGAUGAAACAAUGGUGUUGUGUGACUUCCUAAGAAAAAUCAAGACAAGACUUUGUUCUAUUUCAUCAAGUCCUUGACGCCUCCUCCCAGCUGGUGUGAAUCAUGGCAAUACAGUGAAAGACAGUGAUUUACUGCUUUUGAGGGCGUGCAUGUAUAUGAUUAACGGAUGGAAGUGCAGGACUCCAAGAUUUACUUCCUUCCCUUUCCAGCAGAAUUACCUGAGACGAGUAAAAUCUACUGGUGGAGUCACUCCAUUAUUCUUAUCUGUGGAGAUCUAGAUCUUGAUUUGAAAGUUUCUGAGAAAAUCUUCAGCUCAGACUUGAGGGUCAACUUUACCAGCUGAAGGAUCUGCAUUUACUGCUCAACCACAUCUAAUUUGAUGUCCUCUGCAGAUUUAAAAUGUGUGCCUUCUUUUCCGUCACCAAGUCAUCCCUGGGUUACUACUGAACAUCCUUCUCAAUUCCCCCCGACCCAUGGAUGGCUGUUCUCCAUUGUCUGUUUCACCAGAUGUCCUCAAAACAAACAGACAGAAGAAGGAAGUGGCUAAUGGAGCUGUGGAGUCCAAGUGUGACUGCCAAGAGGAAUCCAGCAAAGCCAAAAAGCCCAAGCAUGUAGCCCUGCCCGAAGCACGCCACACGCAUGGAAAACCCAGAGGAAAUGAGUGAGGAUCAAUGGGAAGAAGAGAGCCAGCCAGGUUCGAUGCCUUCUCCAUCCGUCAGUGAGGGUGUGGAGAGCCUGCAGGCGUGUGCCUCCCUCUGUAACUUGCUAUUCCUUGUGUAAUGUCAAGUGGAAGUGUGAAGCACCACAAACUGCUCUGAGCAGAGCCCACUUCCCUUCACCCACGGAGAGCGUGAAGCAGUUACACCAACAUCAAUCAAGGAAAACCCACAGGCUGAGCUCACACGGUUGAAGCAGGAAGUUGAAGAUUUGUCCAGGAGCAGAUAGCUGAAGAGAGAGAGAGAGAAGAGAGAACGGCUUACAGCUCAGUUCUGGAGACCAGAAGGCCAAAAUCAAAAGUAUGGGCAGGCUUGAUUUCUUUAGAAGACUCCAGCGGAGAACUGUGUCUCCUUGCUUCUGAUUCUACAUCUCCAUCCAUGGGCCACUGUUUCAGCAACCUCAGCCAGUGCAACACAACCUCAGCCAAGAAGAGUAUGCAGAGAAAGGAGUCCCCUACCUGCCACAAAACUGUUGUCUGAAAACUGUCUCAUAUUGUCUCAAGUUGUCAUUCAUUGUGAAUUAGACCUGUUUAACAUGUAA